GUGUCAGCAGCCGCGGUAAUACGUAGGUGGCAAGCGUUGUCCGGAUUUACUGGGCGUAAAGGAUGCGUAGGCGGAUACUUAAGUCAGAUGUGAAAAUCCCGGGCUUAACUUGGGAACUGCAUUUGAAACUGGGUAUCUAGAGUGCGGGAGAGGAGAGUGGAAUUCCUAGUGUAGCGGUGAAAUGCGUAGAGAUUAGGAAGAACACCAGUGGCGAAGGCGACUCUCUGGACCGUAACUGACGCUGAGGCAUGAAAGCGUGGGGAGCAAACAGGAUUAGAUACCCUGGUAGUCCACGCCGUAAACUAUGAAUACUAGGUGUGGGAGUUGUCAUGACUUCCGUGCCGCAGUUAACACAAUAAGUAUUCCGCCUGGGGAGUACGGUCGCAAGAUUAAA
rnacentral:rRNA from 1 species